rnacentral:rRNA from 1 species
UACGUAGGGUGCAAGCGUUGUCCGGAAUUAUUGGGCGUAAAGAGCUCGUAGGUGCCUGUCGCGUCGGCUGUGAAAACUCGGGGCUCAACUCCGAGCUUGCAGUCGAUACGGGGCAGGCUAGAGUUCGGCAGGGGAGACUGGAAUUCCUGGUGUAGCGGUGAAAUGCGCAGAUAUCAGGAGGAACACCGGUGGCGAAGGCGGGU